UGGGGAAUCUUGGACAAUGGGCGCAAGCCUGAUCCAGCCAUGCCGCGUGGAUGAUGAAGGCCUUAGGGUUGUAAAAUCCUUUCGUGGGGGACGAUAAUGACGGUACCCCAAGAAGAAGCUCCGGCUAACUUCGUGCCAGCAGCCGCGGUAAUACGAAGGGGGCUAGCGUUGUUCGGAUUUACUGGGCGUAAAGCGCGUGUAGGCGGGUCGUUAAGUUGGGGGUGAAAUCCCGAGGCUCAACCUCGGAACUGCCUUCAAAACUGGCGACCUGGACCCAAGUAGAGGCAAGUGGAAUUGCGAGUGUAGAGGUGAAAUUCGUAGAUAUUCGCAGGAACACCAGUGGCGAAGGCGACUUGCUGGACUUGUGGUGACGCUGAGACGCGAAAGCGUGGGGAGCAAACAGGAUUAGAUACCCACGUAGUCCCUGAGCGGGCUGGCAAGGCGCAU
rnacentral:rRNA from 1 species